CCUACGGGAGGCAGCAGUGAGGAAUAUUGGUCAAUGGACGAGAGUCUGAACCAGCCAAGUAGCGUGAAGGAUGACUGCCCUAUGGGUUGUAAACUUCUUUUAUAUGGGAAUAAAAUGUUCCACGUGUGGGAUUUUGUAUGUACCAUAUGAAUAAGGAUCGGCUAACUCCGUGCCAGCAGCCGCGGUAAUACGGAGGAUCCGAGCGUUAUCCGGAUUUAUUGGGUUUAAAGGGAGCGUAGGUGGAUUGUUAAGUCAGUUGUGAAAGUUUGCGGCACAACCGGAAAAUUGCAGUUGAAACUGGCAGUCUUGAGUACAGUAGAGGGGGGCGGAAUUCGUGGUGUAGCGGUGAAAUGCUUAGAUAUCACGAAGAACUCCGAUUGCGAAGGCAGUUCACUGGACUGCAACUGACACGGAGGCUCGAAAGUGUGGGUAUCAAACAGGAUUAGAUACCCCUGUAGUC
rnacentral:rRNA from 1 species